rnacentral:rRNA from 1 species
CACGUAGUUAGCCGUGACUUUCUGGCGGGGCACCAUCAGUCAGCACCCAUUUCCUGAUGCUGCCUUUUUCCCCCGCAACAGAGCUUUACGACCCGAAGGCCUUCUUCACUCACGCGGCAUCGCUCGUUCAGGCUUGCGCCCAUUGACGAAAAUUCCCUACUGCUGCCUCCCGCAGGAGUCUGGGCCGUGUCUCAGUCCCAAUGUGGCCGUCCGCCCUCUCAGGCCGGCUAUGCAUCAUCGUCUUGGUGGGCCUUUACCCCGCCAACCAACUAAUGCACCGCAGGUCCAUCCGCGCCCCAUCCCCUAAAGGAUGUUUCACAGAAAGAAGAUGCCUCCUUCCUGUACAUCGGGAUUUGUUCUCCGUUUCCAGAGCGUAUUCCCGGUGCGCGGGCAGGUUCCCUACGUGUUACUCACCCGUUCGCCACUAGAGACCCGAAGGUCUCUCGUUCGACUUGCAUGUAUUAGGCAUGCCGCAGCGUUCAUCCUGACGCCAGGA